rnacentral:tRNA from 1 species
GGCAGCGUGGCUUAGUUGACAGAGCACGGGCCUGGGAGUCAGGAGGACCUGGGUUCUAAUCCCAGCUUUGCCA